UAUAUGUUAUUUCGGACUUUAAUCUAUAUUGCCCUACUAUCUCCCUUGUUUAUUCUAUAUUGUCCCACUAAUAACAAACAUUAUCUUUUUUAUUAUAUUUAAAUCGAAAACAUUGGAAAAGACAUAAAACCCCUUAAUGAAUCUAAGAAAUUACAAACUCAAAUCGGAUCAUCCACCCAAACCCAUACCCAAUACGGAUCCCAUCAAGUUAAUAAUAAUAAGUAAAUAAGAAAAAGAAAUCAAAAUCCCUAAUCUUUCCAGCUUCUUCUUCACGAGCCUCCUUCUUCAUUCUUUUUCUGUCUUUUUCAAUUUCUCGCACAACACAUUCUCUGUUUCUGAUGAACCCUCAUUCUAAAAACAGGGACACAGAUUUUAAAUCAGAAUGACGCAUGUACGUUGCUGAGUCUGGCACUCGUUGAAAAUUAAAACUCAAUCGGAGCCUGCGACUCGAUUCCGUCGCUUACAAGUUACAAACGCUUAACGCUUAAUAAAAAUAAGAAGAGAGAGGUCACCACCGAAGCAGUGAAGCCAUUGGUGGAUCUCGCAGCGGAGAAGGCGAUGGUGGUUCUGAGCAGUCAUACAACAAUCGAGGAGAACGAAAGCUCAGCCGGAAGCUAUGACGCGAUUCCGCCGCUUACAACGCUCUAGAAGUUGUGCACGCUUCAGCAAAACAAGGAGAGUUGAUUCACCACCAGAGGGGUGAAUCCGUUGGUAGACUUUUGGGGCAAAGUAGGGGACUGUAGUGGUGAAAUGGUAGAGAAGGCGAUUUGGAGGCUAUGUGGACAUUGUUUCAAAAAAGUAAUUUCCUUUUCACACAAAGGACAUUUUUACCAUACUUGGAUCGAGUUUGUUUAAGAUAGUGUUUGUGAGAUAUGGUUUAAAUCUUUUUGCUAAGCUGUUGGAUUAUCUUUGCCACUGUUUUUUUUUGGUCAAAUCUUUGCCACUGGUUUAGAUAUCGUUUAUGUUCAUAAAUGUGGCGUCAUUCUUGUAAAAUGACAGUAACUGAAUCCGAGAUGCGAUCAUAUGGGUCACUUGCAACGAAGAUUUCAUAUUGGCUGGGUAA